GGGGGAGCACGGGUGGUCGCUCGUCGAGUCUGCUCGAUGGGAGGAAAGUCCGGACUCCAAGGGCAAGGACGCUGGAUAACGUCCAGGCGGAGUGAUCCGACACCAGCACCACAGAGAACAGACCGCCGAUGGCCGGCGCGAGCGACCUUGGUCCUCCUGCCGGCUCAGGUAAGGGUGAAACGGUGGGGUAAGAGCCUACCGCGGUGAUGGCGACAUCAACGGCACGGUAAGCGUCGUCCGGAGCAAGACCAAAUAGGGGGACGCCUGCGGCGCCCGUCAGGGCUCAGCAGAAAGGCCGGCCCGGCCGAGGUUCCCGGGUAGGUUGCUUGAGGCUCGGGGCAACUCGAGUCCCAGAGAAAUGAUCACCCCCGUGCGAGCGCAAGUUUCACACGGGACAGAAUCCGGCUUAUAGGGUUCCUCCAACG
rnacentral:RNase_P_RNA from 3 species